AUGGACUGUAGCCCACCAGNNNNNNNNNNNNNNNNNNNNNNNNNNNNNGGUUGCCAUUUCCUUCUCCAGGGGAUCUUCCCGAACCAGGGAUUGAACCCACUUCUCCUGCAUUGGCAGGCAAAUUCUUUACCACUAGCCCCACCUGAGAAGCCCUAUCCACAUAUGCAGGUUUCAGACAGGUACACAUACACAUGCAGGUACACAUGUGAGUGCGCAUACACACAUACCCCCCAAGAAUAUGAACAUGCUUUUAGGGCAAAGUCAGAGGUGGAGGUAAAGUUAGACACUCGGGAAGAUAGAAGAGUCACUGUUGUAACACUUGUUUUUCUCCUAAGAAAACCCAGGUCGGAGAAGAGAUUAUAUCUGAGGGUGCUUUCUUCUUCUUUUAUCUCUGGAAUGGUAACAUGUGAAUUGCUUAGGGUGAAUAUUUGUAAGUGCCUAGUGAAGAUUGCUCUGAUUCUUUGGUGAGCAGUUUCUAGCAGUAAAGUUGCUUCUUAGUUAUCUUUUUUCAUUACUCUUGCCCUGGAUCUUAGUGUUUUUAAGAACAAAAUAUUCUUAUAAAGGAUAUAAAAGAGUCAAAUAUUACUGAAAUGACUCUGUCCUGUUGUAAAUAUCUACAUUCUUGCUGAUCUCUGGGAAAUUUGGUCAUUCUUACAAUUUCCCUAUUGUCUAGGAUACAUGUUUCUACAGAGACCUGGCUGAAGCUCUUUCAAGAACAGUAACANNNNNNNNNNNNNNNNNNNNNNNNCUUGUCAGUCACCAUGUUGCUGAAUAAUAGUGAAACUUUUAUGUGUAGUAUUUGAAGUUAUUUAGUAGUUCUAUUUUUUCCUAUCAUUUGAGUUUUUGUCAGAGUUUGAAUAAGCUAAAAUUACUGAAAAAUAGUAUUUACCUUCUCAACAACAAGCCUUAGGUCUAUAUAAUGUUGUUUAGUCAUUAAGUCAUGCCCGACUCUGUGACCCUAUGGACUAUAGCCCACCAGGCUCCUCUGGCCAUGGGAUUUUCCAGGCGAGAAUACUGGNNNNGGGUUGCCAUUUCCUUCUCCAGGGGAUCCUCCCGACCCAGGGAUCAAACCUGCAUCUCCUGCUUGGCGGGCAGAUUCUUUAACACUGAGCCAUCUGGGAAGCCUGGGCUAUAUAAUAGACUUUUUUUUUUUUGGUACGGAUAGUGUUUGGGAUAAAAUUUAAGCCUUCAUGCAAUUCAAGAUUUAUUUAUAGAGUUCCUUCUAUGUAAAAAGCAAUACUAGGUACUAGGAGGGCAAGAAGGCAAGUAAAAUCUGUCCUCUCACCUCAACAAUCAAUCUUUCUACAAAGUAUGAUUUAUAAAAUUAUUAAAAGGCAGAGGAAGUGGCCUAUACUGAUUAGGAAUAAGGCUAGAGCAGUUCAGGAAAGGCUUCUCUGAGGAGGCAGAUUAUUCACUUGAGUCUUGAAUGAUGACUAGAUUGAGGGAGGAAGGAAGGGAUGGUUUAUCAGGGAGUAAACUGGCAAUGGCAUAAUUUUGAAGAUUCUAUAUCUUUUUCCAAAUUCUAUGAAAUUAGGCUUCUCACCAUCAGAGAAGGAAGGUACAAGUAAAUAAAAGGUAAUACUAGAAUAAAUUUUGUGAUGCUAGAUUGGAUUCAGAAAUACCACUAUGAAUUUGUAGUUUAAAUAUA
ensembl:lncRNA